AUAGAGACUCAGAGCUGCAUAUCAAUAAGCGGAGGAAAAGAAACUAACAAGGAUUCCCUUAGUAACGGCGAGUGAAGCGGGAAGAGCUCAAAUUUGAAAUCUUCAAGGUUCUACCUUGACGAAUUGUAGUUUAUAGAAGUGUUUUCUGUUAGUAGAGUGGCAAAAGUUCUUUGGAAUAGGACAUCAUAGAGGGUGAGAAUCCCGUAUUUGGUCAUUCUUUCUAGCUUUGUGAUACACUUUCAACGAGUCGGAUUGUUUGGGAAUGCAGUCCAAAAUGGGUGGUAAAUUUCAUCUAAAGCUAAAUAUUGGCGAGAGACCGAUAGCGAACAAGUACCGUGAGGGAAAGAUGAAAAGAACUUUGAAAAGAGAGUUAAACAGUACGUGAAAUUGUCAAAAGGGAAGCGUUUGACACCAGUGUUGUUUUUCCGAAAAUCAAUUACGAAUGUUUUGUUUUUAAGAAGUUAUGACUUCAUCGGCUUGCUUCUUUCUUUACGAAACUUUCUUAAUGCACUUUUCGGUUAACAAGUCAACAUCAAUUUCUUUUGUUGUAAAAGGGUAUGAGGAAGGUGGCUUUCUUUUCGGAGAAAGUGUUUAUAGCCUUGUGCCUCUGCAAUCGGAGAGAUUGAGGUCUGCAGCGUAGAUCCUUCGGGGUUAGAUACGUUUGUGCUAAGUUAUAGCCUUGUAUAGACAACUUGUUGACUAUGCUCAGUCAUGUAGCUUACUCCGCUUAUGCUAUUUUACCUACGCUUAGGAUGUUGACGAGACUGUCGAUCUC
rnacentral:rRNA from 1 species